rnacentral:rRNA from 1 species
GAUGAACGCUAGCGGCAGGCCUAAUACAUGCAAGUCGAGGGAGAAUGUUGGAUUCGUCUGACAUGAAACCGGCGCACGGGUGCGUAACACGUAUGCAACCUACCUUUAACUGGGGUAUAGCUCAGAGAAAUCUGAAUUAAUCCCCCAUAAGACUACGACAUGGCAUCAUAUGUAGUUAAAGCUCCGGCGGUUAAGGAUGGGCAUGCGGUACAUUAGCUAGUUGGUGAGGUAAUGGCUCACCAAGGCUACGAUGUAUAGGGGGUCUGAGAGGAUGAUCCCCCACACUGGUACUGAGACACGGACCAGACUCCUACGGGAGGCAGCAGUAGGGAAUAUUGGUCAAUGGACGCAAGUCUGAACCAGCCAUGCCGCGUGAAGGAUGAAGGCCCUAUGGGUCGUAAACUUCUUUUAUUAGGGAAGAAAAAACGGGAUGCGUCCUGUACUGACGGUACUUAAUGAAUAAGGAUCGGCUAACUUCGUGCCAGCCGCCGCUGUAA